CUAUCUGCCGUGGGCGUUGGAAGAUUGAAGGGGGCUGCUCCUAGUACGAGAGGACCGGAGUGGACGAACCUCUGGUGUUCGGGUUGUGUCGCCAGACGCAUUGCCCGGUAGCUAAGUUCGGAAUCAAUAACCGCUGAAAGCAUCUAAGCGGGAAGCGAGCCCUGAGAUGAGUCUUCCCUGAUACUUUAAGUAUCCUAAAGGGUUGUCGGAGACUACGACGUUGAUAGGUCAGGUGUGUAAGUGCUGUGAGGCAUUGAGCUAACUGAUACUAAUUGCCCGUGAGGCUUAACCAUACAACACCCAAGGGGUUU
rnacentral:rRNA from 1 species